UGGGACGCUUAGCUGGCGGAUUAAUCCGCCUAAGAGAAACUGAACCGUGCCGGGAUUAUCGUACCUUAUCAUUACGGUCUGGAGAUGGAACAUUGAGCAGAGUUCCAUCGUGAGCUCGAGGAAUGUCAACUCGAUAAUCCCGAAGAACAGCUCCCAAGGGUCGGUGGUUAGGAGAGCCCGAAUCACGUCAGCCAUCUGAACUUGUUCUAUGGCAGCCCAGUCGAUGCAGCGGCCCGCUGUUAAAGGUCGGG
rnacentral:lncRNA from 1 species